rnacentral:lncRNA from 1 species
UUUUUUUUUUCUCGUUUAAUGAAAAAGUCUUGUGAAUUCUUUUUGGCUGUACACUUAGCUGUUUGCUAGUAGUAUUGUACUGUCAGUGGGCUGGAGCUGCCGCAUACAGAGUCCCAGGUCUUGGCUAUCAUGCACAGUUGGCAUCAGGUGUUGGCAAACUGCACACCCCAGCACAGAAAUGGGAGCUGAAAUGAGGUUGUGCUGGGUUGUGCACAGUAAACUGUAUGUAGAGAGUGUCUGUAGUAGGCAGCAGGGGAAGCUGCUGAUACAGGACUUACUUGUUUUGAAGAAAGGAAAGAAGGAGACAAACACACAAACCUCAGUGCAGUGUACAAAUAAACAUUUUGUUCAACUACCUCUUAAAGUGGAGUUAGCUAGUGUAAUGGUUUCCUUAUAGUAAUAGUCAAUAGCAACUGCCAAAUUUACGUUCCCAUGCCUCUUAAAAGGUCUUCAUGAUUACUUUCUAUAGCUUUGAGGUCCUUCCUUGUGGCUACUUUUUUACUCUUGCAUUUGCAUAAGAUAUUACCCUCUAAGUGGAAGGCAAAUGACAGCCGUAUAUUUUGAUAUUUGUGACCUGUUUAAUUAUAGCAGUUUUUUUAAUGCACUUUGGCUAUAAAAACUAUGGGUAACUUGAUCUAUAAGAUUUAAAUGUGCCAUCAAUUUAGUAUUCCUAGACAUAAGCUUGAUGAAUGAUCUUCUAUAAUUAUAAUGUGCCACAUUUUUCUGUGUCUUAAUUGCCCUUUGCCUGAAUUUCAAUGAUCAAAAUGUUAUUGUUGCACAUGUGAAUACUGUGUAUAAAACUUCCUAAAUUUAUGUAAAGUUGUAUAAUAUAGAAUAAAGAAAUCCCACUGUGUUCUCUCUG